AUUGAACGCUGGCGGCAGGCCUAACACAUGCAAGUCGAGCGGAUGAAGAGGGCUUGCUCUCUGAUUCAGCGGCGGACGGGUGAGUAAUGCCUAGGAAUCUGCCUGGUAGUGGGGGACAACGUUUCGAAAGGAACGCUAAUACCGCAUACGUCCUACGGGAGAAAGUGGGGGAUCUUCGGACCUCACGCUAUCAGAUGAGCCUAGGUACGAUUAGCUAGUUGGUGAGGUAAAGGCUCACCAAGGCGACGAUCGUUAACUGGUCUGAGAGGAUGAUCAGUCACACUGGAACUGAGACACGGUCCAGACUCCUACGGGAGGCAGCAGUGGGGAAUAUUGGACAAUGGGCGAAAGCCUGAUCCAGCCAUGCCGCGUGUGUGAAGAAGGUCUUCGGAUUGUAAAGCACUUUAAGUUGGGAGGAAGGGCAGUAAGUUAAUACCUUGCUGUUUUGACGUUACCGACGGAAUAAGCACCGGCUAACUUCGUGCCAGCAGCCGCGGUAAGAC
rnacentral:rRNA from 1 species